rnacentral:lncRNA from 1 species
UCUUUUUCAGUUCCAUGUGAAUUUUAAACUAGUUUUUCUAAUUCUGUGAAAAAUGAUGUUGAUAAUUUGAUAGGAAUAGCACUGAAUGUAAAGAUUACUUUGGGCAGUAUAGCCAUUUUUAUAAUAUUGACUCAUUUAAUCCAUGAGAAUGGAAUGAUUUUGCAUUUGUUUAUGUCAUCUACUAUUUCUUUCAGCAGUGUUUUGAAGUUCUCCUUGUAGAGAUCUUUCACCUCCUUGGUUAGAUAUUUUCCUAGGUUUCUGUAUCUAUCGUAAAUGGGAUUUUAUUCUUGAUUUUGUUCUCAGCUUGAAUGAUGUAGGUAAUGGGCAUCUUGAUUACCUUUUUGUUUCCCACAAGAUAUCCCAUUGGUUUGUUACAUUGAUGAUAUUCUGCUGAUUGGACCUAGUGAGCAAGAGGUAACAACUGCUCUAGGAUUACUGGUAAGAUAUUUACAUGUCAGGAGUAGGAAAUAAAUAUGAUAAAUUCAGAAGCUUUCUACCUAAGUGAAUUCUGUAGUGGUCCAGUAGUGUAGGCCAUGCCAAAAUAUCACUUCUAAGGUAAGGGUAAUUUGUGCCCAAAGAUUCAGUGGCAGAUAGGGUUGCUGUUAGGGCCUUUGGCAGGCCCCUAUAGGUGAAUUGCAGUGUAGACCUUUAAAAUGUGGGUGUAAGCCCUGCCAUUCUUUGCAGAUGACUACUCUCUUUUUGAGGAUCUAAGCCUUACUAGAAACUGAACACUUAACCAUGGGACAUCAAGUUCUCAUCUGACCAGACCUGCUCAUCAUGAAUUUGGUAUUAUUCUGACCAACAAGCUGUGAAGUUGGGCAUGAACAGCAGCAAAUAGAAGUAAUAUGUGUAUGAUCAGGCUGGAGCAGGCCCUGAAGGCACAAGUAAGUUGCAUGAAAGAGUGACCCAAAUACCUAUGGUUGAACACUCCACCUACACAGCCUUAUUUUUCUUCCAACCUUCACCUACAGCCUCAUGGCGAAGUCUCAGUGACCAGCUGACUAUAUAUAAACCAGUUACAGAAACAGUAACUUUUUCUCUUGUUGUUAAUAUUGUGUGUGUAUGUAGCAAAUAUCUCUGUUUUUCUCUCUCUUAUUCCCUUGUCAUGUAACAUAAGAUGUAUUAACUUUAUAUUGUAGUAUUUAAGUAUUGUUAAUUUUACAUCAUAGGGUUCAAGUUAUCAAGGAGAAGAGCGAACAUCACUCAAAGACCUUUCCUCUUCUUCCAGCAAGAAGGCCCUUACCAGAUGCCAGCACCUUGAAAUUGGUCUUUCUAGCCUCCAGAUCUGUCAUUCAUGCAUCUGUGAUCAGCUGCCAGACUGGGUGGAGGCUGGUUCAUCUGAAAUGACUUCAGCUAGGAUGACCUGACUCUGCUUUUUUACAUUUAAGUAUCUUCUGAGGCUUAUUCACACGACAGUAAUAGAGAUCCAAAAGCAAAAUGGGAAAUAUGCAAAAUCUUUCAAGGGCUAGGCACAAAAUUAGUCUGUUAUUUCUACCACAUUUUACUAAUCAAUGCAAGUUAUAAGGUCAGACAAGAUUUAAGGGGUGAAGAAAGAGUGGCAAAGUUGCUAUACAAAGAGGAGUGGAUAUAGGAAGAGAUAAAGAAUUAUGGUUAUUUUUGCAAUCUCAUGCAAAUAGCAUUUUUGCAAUAUAAGUUUAGUUUCAUGGCUUUAUUGAGAAAAGCUUAAAUCAAAAACUGCAGAAUCUUUUUGUGUGUGUUUUUUAUUCCCCUGGCACAUUCUAGCAUAUACUUACAAAUACCAAUUCCUGGCAUGGAUGCAGAUCAACUGCUAAUGAGAAUGCGAAAUAAUACGGCCACUUUGGAAAACAGUUUGAUAAUUUCUUAUAAAAAGUUAAUUAUACACUUACCAUGUAAGCCAGUAAUCCAACUACUGAGUUAUUUAACCAAAUGCAAUGAAAACUUAGUUUUCACUGGCAUAAAAUUCUUUCCCACUUAUUAAGCCUUCAAUCCCUUGACUUUGUCUGUUGCAGAUAGAAAAAUUAAAAGACAUAGAGGCUAAAGCCAAAUCUAGCCUACUGCCUGUUUUUGUUAAUAAAGUUUUAUUGGAACAUUGCCAUGCCAUUUGUUUACACAAUGUUUAUGACUACUUGUGUGCUGUGCUACAAUGACAGAGUUGAGCAAUUGUGCAUGAGCUCACAAGGCCCUCAAAGCCUAAAAUAUUUACUAUCUAGCCUUUUACAUAGCAAGUUUGCUGACUCCUAGAGGAUAGGAUUUUGUAAUUGUUUUUUAACAGGUCAGUGUUGAAAAUCAUGUUAAUCACUUAUGAUUGUGUUCCAUUGGCCAGAACUAUGUCUCAUGGUCACACAGUGUAGGCUGGGCUAUUUACAAUACUUGCAUGCAUAGGAAACAGAGGAAACUGAUAUUUGUAACUCUGUUAUGUCUUCACUGAUUUUCCAAAGACUGUAUCAUUCUGCAUCUACUCUCACAUACCACUUUUAAAUAUGUGUGUUUUUGACACAGUUGUAGGUUGUACAUUACUAUUUCUUUUCAUGUUUAACCCUUUAACUGGACUUGGUAAAAAAAAUCAUCUUAUUCAUCUCUAUAUUUUUAGUGUCAUACUCAAUUGAAUAAAGUUAAUAAAGGAAAUAAUGCAAUCAGG